rnacentral:rRNA from 1 species
UACGUAGGGGCCUAGCGUUGUCCGGAAUUAUUGGGCGUAAAGAGCUCGUAGGCGGUUCGGCAAGUCGGAUGUGAAAUCUCCACGCUUAACGUGGAGGGGCCAUUCGAAACUGCUGUGACUCGAGUCCGGUAGGGGAGUGUGGAAUUCCCGGUGUAGCGGUGAAAUGCGUAGAGAUCGGGAGGAACACCGGUGGCGAAGGCGGCCAGCUGGCGCUGACCUGACGCUGAGGCGCGAAGGCAUGGGGAGCGAACGGG